AACGCACCUUGCACCCUUUGGCAUUCCAAAGGGUAUGCCUGUUUGAGUAUCAUGAAAUUCUCAACUCCCCCUCGGAUUCCAUCUGUAGGGUGAGCUUGGACUUGGAGGUUUCUGCUGGCGUUCGCCGGCUCCUCUUGAAAUCAUUAGCUUUGAGUUGAUCUCGAUGGCUCGACCGGUGUGAUAAACAUCUACGCCGAUUUGUGCCGUCCUGAGCGACGACGUCGGAGACGCUCUGGCUUAUAACCGUCUUCACCAGAGGACGACGCCCUGAACUUUUGAUCUCAAAUCAGGUAGGACUACCCGCUGAACUUAA
rnacentral:misc_RNA from 1 species